GGCCCCAUCGUCUAGUGGCCCAGGACAUCACUCUUUCAAGGUGAAGACACGGGUUCGAUUCCCGUUGGGGCCG
rnacentral:tRNA from 1 species